CUCAUGGACAGCAACAUUGCAUCAAAAGCCCCACCAGAUCAUAUCACACUUUUCCCUAGUCCCGAGGUCUUUAAUAAUUUUCUAAAACUGUCUCACUUUAGGAAAACGUAUUAACUUCCUGGGGAAUUAAAUUCUUUACAUAGCCUGAUUGUUUCUUUAUACAUAACUAAUGUCAUUUUACAAAAACAUAGUAAUCAAUGCAAUUGGUGUGGUUCUGUGCUUGGAAGGAAGAAUAAACACAUUUUAACUGCAGUACUAUGCAUCCGUCUAUAAAAUCCACAGUGAAUCCAGAGUGAAA